ACGUACACUCCUACGGGAGGCAGCAGUGGGGAAUAUUGGACAAUGGGCGCAAGCCUGAUCCAGCCAUGCCGCGUGAGUGAUGAAGGCCCUAGGGUUGUAAAGCUCUUUCACCGGUGAAGAUAAUGACGGUAACCGGAGAAGAAGCCCCGGCUAACUUCGUGCCAGCAGCCGCGGUAAUACGAAGGGGGCUAGAGUUGUUCGGAUUUACUGGGCGUAAAGCGCACGUAGGCGGACUAUUAAGUCAGGGGUGAAAUCCCGGGGCUCAACCCCGGAACUGCCUUUGAUACUGGUAGUCUUGAGUUCGAGAGAGGUGAGUGGAAUUCCGAGUGUAGAGGUGAAAUUCGUAGAUAUUCGGAGGAACACCAGUGGCGAAGGCGGCUCACUGGCUCGAUACUGACGCUGAGGUGCGAAAGCGUGGGGAGCAAACAGGAUUAGAAACCCUAGUAGUCCCAU
rnacentral:rRNA from 1 species